AAGAAGCAGACCGGAGGUGGUUGGGCGGGCUUUACCACCAUUAACCAAUAGCAAGUCAAACUUCCAGCCACGUGCCUGUAAAGUGGCCUAAUGAUUGGCCCUGCUCGCUGAGUCCUCCAGAAUAUAGAGCGGUUACACGCCAACCGUAAAGAUGGGCGUCAAGGAAAGACUAAGAGUCGCGCGAUGUCCUAAAUUCUUCUGAUUUUUUUCGCGACGUAGGUCGUCGGCCUAUUCUUUUCCAUUAUAGGUGAUUACAAGAUAUUGAAUACAGUCCCUACUUCUUUAUUUCUCUAGCAUUGCUUACUCCUUUCCCCCAAACCCUGAAAAAUCUUAGGCUGUCAUACGAGCAAGUCAAGAAAAAUUAGAGGGCUUCCCUGGUGGUGCAGUGGUUAAGAAUCCGCCUGUCAAUGCAGGGCACCCGGGUUGGAGCCCUGGGCCGGGAAGAUCCCACAUGCCGCGGACCAACUAAGCCCGUGGGCCACAACCACUGAGCCUGUGCUCUAGAGCCUGCGAGCCACAACUACUGAGCCUGCAUGCCACAACUACGGAAGCCCACGCGCCUAGAGUCCGUGCUCCCGCAGCAAGAGAAGCCACUGCAAUGAGAAGCCCGCGCACUGCAACGAAGAGUAGCCCCUGCUCGCCACAACUAGAGAAAGCCUGCAGGCAGCGACAAAGACCCAAGGCAGCCAAAAAUAAAAUAAAUUAAUUAAAAAAACAAAAAAGAAAAA